GUUACAUCAAGCAGCACAGUAUUGUUAACAUUUGUUUAUGCCAUGUAUGGAGAAUUUGUUGAUAAGUUGUAAAAUAGAUAGAAAAUUAUAUGCUUUUGUCUCCGGAGAAUUUGUUCUGUCGGGUUCUUACACUUUAUUAGAAUGCACCGGAAGUUAAAUAUCAAAAUGGCGAUCGCGUACAUAGAAACGUAUAAACUGCUGUUGAAAAAUUUGUGAUUUCUCUGCAAAGUUUUCAUUCUACAAUUACUUUGAAAGAGGAAGUGUAUGAUGUUAAGAACUAAUCAUGGCUGGGGAGAUGCACCAACUGGCUCAGACCAAGAUAGGAUGUGCCAUCAGGGAAGCAGAUCCUAGAAAACUGAAGUUGUUACUCCAGCAAGGAGAAGAUCCUCACUUUAAGGACAGGGUAGG